UCCUGUCCUGGUGGAGCGAGGGGAGAAGCGGUCGUUGUCCGCCUUUGCGCCGGUUGCCGCGGUGAGGUGGUGUGGGUAGAGUGCCCUCCGUUCCCUAGGCAGCCGCAGCCCUAGAGGAGGCACCUCGCAUCCAGGGCAAUUAUUCCUGCCUGGAGACAUAAUUUCUGAGUAAACUCCAGCUUCCUAACUGUUGCAGUACCAACGAAAGCAAGCAUUAGACUUCCUUACAAAGUGUAUGUCAGCUUAGGCCAGCACAACAGGAAGAAUUCUUUUGACUGGGCUGAAAGAACCAGCAUUUACUCAAAGCCUCUCAUUCAACACAGCAGAUGGCAUACCUACCUUGCUGAAACUAGAGAUGCUUUCUGUGAUCUGCUCAGUUGGCAAGAUCUGCUGUAUCUCAGGCAGAAUGCACAUGAUACAGACAUGGUCAGGCAACUGUCUCACCUGUCCUAGGAGGAAGCUAAUGAUGGAUUCACAGUAUUUUUGAAGGAAAAAUGUUAACAUUUUUGAUUGCAUGACUGUAUGCUUCAACUGUCAUAAAGAGCAGGUGUUUCUUUCCUUCCUUCUGUACCCUACACACACACAAGCAAUUAAGUUUUAAGUAUUAAUAUGAGGAAAGACCUGAUUUUAUUUGUGUUAAGUCCUUUUUUGAAAUCACCACACUGAAAAAAAAAAAAAAAAGCCAGCUGACAAGUAUUGUUUUGUCUGUCCCUUCGAAAUGGGGGGAAAAGUAUUUUGAAAUGGCAAGACACAAACUUGGCAAAAUGAUGCUGGAAGAAAUACCAAGCAUUGCUGUAAGUGCCCCUCAGGUAAACAAGCCCUUUGGCAAAAUCGUAGCACAAUGGCCAAAGCAAACUCUUUAAGACUGUCCUCUUGAUGUCAUGAUGUAGAAGAGGGGAGCAGCUGGAUACCAGGGCUGCCACAAUUAAAACUGAAUGAACUUUGACAAGAUUGUUAAAGAAAAGCUACGGUAGGGAAUAGUAAAUUCAUGGUGGUGCAGCACACUGGAAAAAGCAGACUGCUGCUUAGAUACUGGUGAUAAACACUGUGACAAGCCCAAGAGAGCAGGAGACAGACAUUCGCAUCAGCUCCACGUUAGGCGCCUUUUGCUCAGGGUGGGUUUUUGGUGAUUGUCUUGUUUUCAUUAAGUCAGAGAGAAUAUGCAGUUACAGAAGUAGUACAGUGCUUUUAUAUA